CCAGAAUAUUCUGUAAUCUUGGAUCUACGAUUGUAGUUUAACUUCCAACUGUUCACUCACACAUAUCACAGGAGGCUUCAAAUGAUGUUCCUGUGGGGUUGGCUGCUGCUGCUGCUCGUUUGGCAGGAAGUCACAGUUCUUUAUGUAGCGUGGCAGGAGGGUGCUUUUUAAGCUUGUUAUAAGUUGGCAGUAUGCAAUAAUAAAUUCACCAGUACUGCAGAACAUCUUUGAAGGGUCGCCCUUAGAUGCAUGCUUCUAAGUUAUAUAGACAGCAGGUCAGCAGGGGUGGGUUUGUCUUACGUAAACCCAGCAGAUUUGGCACGUCACACUGGUUAGCACAUGGAAAGUAAAGCUGGAAACUCUCUCUUUCUUUCUGUAAAUGCAAACUAUCACUCAGACCUUUGGACACACCUACUGAUUUUUUAUUAUGACUAUUUUCCACAGUUUAGAAUAAUAGUAAAGUCAUCAAAACUAUGAACAAACACAAAUGGAAUUAUGGGAAUGUUGUGACCAGAAAUGAUAAGAUAGAUAGAUAGAUAGAUAGAUAGAUAGAUAGAUAGAUAGAUGGAUGAAUAGAUAGAUAGAUGGAUGAGUGGACAAACGAACAGAUAGAUAGAUAGAUAGAUAGAUAGAUAGAUAGAUAGAUAGAUAGAUAGAUAGAUGAGUGGACGAAUGAACAGAUAGAUAGAUAGAUAGAUAGAUAGAUAGAUAGAUAGAUAGAUAGAUAGAUAGAUAGAUAGAUAGAUAGAUAGAUAGAUAGAUAGAUAGAUAGAUAGAUAGAUAGAUAGAUAGAUAGGAGCUGGAGACUAGCCAUGUUUACAGUUUUCACAGAUGGGUUCAGACAGUGUCAGGUUGAGUGAGAUAAAUGACUCAGUUCCUCUGCUGCUCCACACGGGAAAGCAGCAGCAAUGUAGAAAUGCUCAAAGUAUGUCACUUCCCACCCAGCCGCUGGAGAAAGCUAUUUUAUCAUAGUUAUCCCUUCAAGAUCCAAACGUUUUCUACAUCUGGAGUAAAACGUUUUCUGAAAGCGUUCACACAGACGUUUUCCCUGUUAACGUCCACCCUUGUGCGCGUGAUCUUUCAGGUAGGAAACACUGCCG
ensembl:lncRNA